rnacentral:rRNA from 1 species
UUUUUUGGAGAGUUUGAUCCUGGCUCAGGACGAACGCUGGCGGCGUGCUUAACACAUGCAAGUCGAACGAUGAACUUGGAGCUUGCUCUGGG